UACGUAGGGCGCAAGCGUUGUCCGGAAUUAUUGGGCGUAAAGAGCUCGUAGGCGGCCAACUAAGUCAGACGUGAAAUCCCUCAGCUUAACUGGGGAACUGCGUCUGAUACUGGAUGGCUUGGAUUCGGGAGAGGAAUGCGGAAUUCCAGGUGUAGCGGUGAAAUGCGUAGAUAUCUGGAGGAACACCGGUGGCGAAGGCGGCAUCCUGGACCGGCAUUGACGCUGAGGAGCGAAAGCCAGGGGAGCAAACGGG
rnacentral:rRNA from 1 species